rnacentral:rRNA from 1 species
UAUCUCUGUAGAGUCUGCAUAUCAAUAAGCGGAGGAAAAGGUAGACGGUGUGUUUACCGGCUAUUCCGAUGUAAACCUGUUUUCCUGCCGCUCUCUGUGUGACAAGCUGGGUCUGCCCUUCUACGGUACCGUAGGCCAGAUCAAAAAGACCACCGACAAGCUCCUGUUCAAGGAAAUGUGCCGCAAGUACGGCGUAGGUACGGUGCCUCAGUACAGUGAAGACGAUCUGGCGGAGAUUCCCUAUCCCAUUAUCAUCAAGCCCGCAGACAGCUACGGCAGCAAGGGUAUUUCCGUGUGCUAUUCCUAUGAGGAAACGCCCCCUGCUGUGGAAAAGGCAAGAGAAUAUUCCAAGACCAGUCAGAUUAUUGUUGAGAAAUAUAUGGGUGCCUGUGAAGUUGUGAACUUCGACUAUGUGAUGCAGGACGGUAAGAUUCUGCUGAGUGCCGUUGGCGACCGCUAUGUCAACACGGAGCAGAAGGGCCUGUCUCCUCUGACCGCUGCGGGAGUGUAUCCCUCCAAGUAUCUGAAGGAGUACAUUGAGCGGCAGGAUGCGAAUGUCAAGAAGAUGUUCUAUGAAGAGGGUAUGCACAACGGUACCGCGUUUAUCCAGGCUUUCUUCGAUGGUGAACAGUUCUAUGUAUUCGAGAUGGGAUACCGCACCGGUGGCGGACAGGGUUCCAUUCCCCUGAAGGUGAUUUGCGACCUGGAUUACGUGGAAUAUCUGAUCAACUUUGCUCUGACCGGGAAGAUGUCUGAAAAAGAUCUGGAGCAGUAUGCCAAUCCCUCCUACGAAAAGCGUUCCUGUGCGCUGGUGGUGAUUCUGAAGAGCGGCACCAUUGCCAAGAUUGAGGGUCUGGAGGAAAUUGCCGCUAUGCCCCAGAACAUUAAUAUUACCCAGUUCUAUGACGAGGGUGAAACUGUGGAGCAACGGGUAAUUGGCAAUCUGGGUCAGAGCCUGUGUAGAAUGCACUUUGUGGCGGACAAUUGGCAGGAACUGUACGACGCAGUGCAGUUUGCCAACCGCACGUUGAAGGUCACCUCUACCGAGGGUGAAAACAUGAUCGUUGCCGGCGGCUUUAACGGCGAGGCACUGCUGGGGCGCUAAAAUCUCCGCCUACCGGUAUCGGUAGGGGAAAGAAUAGAGAAUUGGAUGGUGUCCAGAUGAAAAUCCUGAUGUUGGUGAGCUAUCAUAAACCGGAAACUGCGGCGAGCUCCUAUCUGGGAGAGAAUCGUCGUGAAGCGUUUGCAAAAGCAGGAUUUGACAUGGUGCUCCAUACACCUGUACCUACGCUUAGGAUGUUGACUGAUAUGUAGUCGUA